rnacentral:rRNA from 1 species
UACGAAGGGGGCUAGCGUUGUUCGGAAUUACUGGGCGUAAAGCGCACGUAGGCGGAUCGAUCAGUCAGGGGUGAAAUCCCAGGGCUCAACCCUGGAACUGCCUUUGAUACUGUCGAUCUGGAGUAUGGAAGAGGUGAGUGGAAUUCCGAGUGUAGAGGUGAAAUUCGUAGAUAUUCGGAGGAACACCAGUGGCGAAGGCGGCUCACUGGUCCAUUACUGACGCUGAGGUGCGAAAGCGUGGGGAGCAACAGGAG